CGCUCCCCGAUAAAUAACAACAUGAGGAGUCCUGCCUGCCCAGUGACUAAAGGUUAAACGGCCGCGGUAUCUUGACCGUGCGAAGGUAGCAUAAUCAUUUGUCUUCUAAAUAAAGACUAGUAUGAAUGGCAAGACGGAACUGAACUGUCUCUUUUCCAAAUAAUCCGAAUUUCACUUCUCCGUGAAGAGGCGGAGGGUAAAAUCGUUAGACGAGAAGACCCUGUCGAGCUUUUAGCAAAAACUUAACUAGUAAAACACUUAAACUACUCUAGUAAAUGAAUGUAAGUAUAAUUAAGCUACUAAGAUUAAGUGAAGCUUUGGUUGGGGCAACCGCGGAGUAAAAGAAGCCUCCGCUAAAAAAUAUUAACCACUAAACUAAGGACUACCAUCCUAUAAUCAUGAAUGAUUAAAUUGAUCCAUUUAGAUGACCAAAGGAACAAGUUACCGCAGGGAUAACAGCGUUAUCUUUUCUGAGAGUUCACAUUGACGAAAAGGUUUGCGACCUCGAUGUUGGAUCGGGACAUCCUAAAGGUGCAGAAGCUUUUAAGGGUUGGUCUGUUCGACCAUUAAAGUCCUACG
rnacentral:rRNA from 1 species